GUCAUUUUUAUUGUGUAGUUUUAUUUUUUAACUUUUUCAUUUCAGUUUUAGUCAUUUAGGUUUUUUUUGUCAUUUUUAUUUUUAUUUUUUUUUAUUUUUAACUUUAACGAGACUCAUUUUUCAUCUAACAGUUAUUUAUUUAUUUAGCUUUAUUUUAAGUAAUAAAAAUGAUUCUUAAUAGUGUAGUUUUAGUUGACAAUAACAACAGUUUUUAUUUAUGUAAUACUAAUUCACUAUUUUAGAGGUCUAACAAAGCUAAAUAAUCAAGCAAUUAUGGUAAAUGCUGAAUUAGAAUUAUGUAAAAAGAGCAUGAAUGAAUGCAUUUUUUAAUUGAGAGUCAUUUGUCCAAACAGGAAGCUUCACUUUUUAUCAUAUGUUUCCAAUAAACCACAGAAGCCAUUUCUAUGUGGAAGCAUUUCUUUUCUCUUUUCCACAGUGACCUUGUUUAAUCUUGUCCCUCCAGGUCUUUCAGCUCUGGAUUUCUAGGAAUAUUUCUUGGUUUUAUUUCACGGUGCCACAGUUCUGCAUUUUUCUGGUCAACUCAAAUCAAUGGAAAUGCCUUCUUUUGUUCCCCCAUGGGCUGCAUAAACAUGCCAUGUUCUAGAACGAGAUUAGAAAUGUUUGAAGAUUCUGGUGUUCUGAAAUGUAUUUGGUUGACCUGCCUUGGAAUCCUCUAACCGCUGUUUUCAUUGAUAAAUAACUGAACAUGUUUCAUGAAAUGAUCUGAAUAUGUGAGAAGAGAGU
ensembl:lncRNA